CGGGACACGUGGUAUCCUGUCUGAAUAUGGGGGGACCAUCCUCCAAGGCUAAAUACUCCUGACUGACCGAUAGUGAACCAGUACCGUGAGGGAAAGGCGAAAAGAACCCCGGCGAGGGGAGUGAAAAAGAACCUGAAACCGUGUACGUACAAGCAGUGGGAGCACGCUUAGGCGUGUGACUGCGUACCUUUUGUAUAAUGGGUCAGCGACUUAUAUUCUGUAGCAAGGUUAACCGAAUAGGGGAGCCGAAGGGAAACCGAGUCUUAACUGGGCGUUAAGUUGCAGGGUAUAGACCCGAAACCCGGUGAUCUAGCCAUGGGCAGGUUGAAGGUUGGGUAACACUAACUGGAGGACCGAACCGACUAAUGUUGAAAAAUUAGCGGAUGACUUGUGGCUGGGGGUGAAAGGCCAAUCAAACCGGGAGAUAGCUGGUUCUCCCCGAAAGCUAUUUAGGUAGCGCCUCGUGAAUUCAUCUCCGGGGGUAGAGCACUGUUUCGGCAAGGGGGUCAUCCCGACUUACCAACCCGAUGCAAACUGCGAAUACCGGAGAAUGUUAUCACGGGAGACACACGGCGGGUGCUAACGUCCGUCGUGAAGAGGGAAACAACCCAGACCGCCAGCUAAGGUCCCAAAGUCAUGGUUAAGUGGGAAACGAUGUGGGAAGGCCCAGACAGCCAGGAUGUUGGCUUAGAAGCAGCCAUCAUUUAAAGAAAGCGUAAUAGCUCACUGGUCGAGUCGGCCUGCGCGGAAGAUGUAACGGGGCUAAACCAUGCACCGAAGCUGCGGCAGCGACGCUGAUGCGUUGUUGGGUAGGGGAGCGUUCUGUAAGCCUGUGAAGGUGUGCUGUGAGGCAUGCUGGAGGUAUCAGAAGUGCGAAUGCUGACAUAAGUAACGAUAAAGCGGGUGAAAAGCCCGCUCGCCGGAAGACCAAGGGUUCCUGUCCAACGUUAAUCGGGGCAGGGUGAGUCGACCCCUAAGGCGAGGCCGAAAGGCGUAGUCGAUGGGAAACAGGUUAAUAUUCCUGUACUUGGUGUUACUGCGAAGGGGGGACGGAGAAGGCUAUGUUGGCCGGGCGACGGUUGUCCCGGUUUAAGCGUGUAGGCUGGUUUUCCAGGCAAAUCCGGAAAAUCAAGGCUGAGGCGUGAUGACGAGGCACUACGGUGCUGAAGCAACAAAUGCCCUGCUUCCAGGAAAAGCCUCUAAGCAUCAGGUAACAUCAAAUCGUACCCCAAACCGACACAGGUGGUCAGGUAGAGAAUACCAAGGCGCUUGAGAGAACUCGGGUGAAGGAACUAGGCAAAAUGGUGCCGUAACUUCGGGAGAAGGCACGCUGAUAUGUAGGUGAAGCGACUUGCUCGUGGAGCUGAAAUCAGUCGAAGAUACCAGCUGGCUGCAACUGUUUAUUAAAAACACAGCACUGUGCAAACACGAAAGUGGACGUAUACGGUGUGACGCCUGCCCGGUGCCGGAAGGUUAAUUGAUGGGGUCAGCGCAAGCGAAGCUCUUGAUCGAAGCCCCGGUAAACGGCGGCCGUAACUAUAACGGUCCUAAGGUAGCGAAAUUCCUUGUCGGGUAAGUUCCGACCUGCACGAAUGGCGUAAUGAUGGCCAGGCUGUCUCCACCCGAGACUCAGUGAAAUUGAACUCGCUGUGAAGAUGCAGUGUACCCGCGGCAAGACGGAAAGACCCCGUGAACCUUUACUAUAGCUUGACACUGAACAUUGAGCCUUGAUGUGUAGGAUAGGUGGGAGGCUUUGAAGUGUGGACGCCAGUCUGCAUGGAGCCGGCCUUGAAAUACCACCCUUUAAUGUUUGAUGUUCUAACGUUGACCCGUGAUCCGGGUUGCGGACAGUGUCUGGUGGGUAGUUUGACUGGGGCGGUCUCCUCCUAAAGAGUAACGGAGGAGCACGAAGGUUGGCUAAUCCUGGUCGGACAUCAGGAGGUUAGUGCAAUGGCAUAAGCCAGCUUGACUGCGAGCGUGACGGCGCGAGCAGGUGCGAAAGCAGGUCAUAGUGAUCCGGUGGUUCUGAAUGGAAGGGCCAUCGCUCAACGGAUAAAAGGUACUCCGGGGAUAACAGGCUGAUACCGCCCAAGAGUUCAUAUCGACGGCGGUGUUUGGCACCUCGAUGUCGGCUCAUCACAUCCUGGGGCUGAAGUAGGUCCCAAGGGUAUGGCUGUUCGCCAUUUAAAGUGGUACGCGAGCUGGGUUUAGAACGUCGUGAGACAGUUCGGUCCCUAUCUGCCGUGGGCGCUGGAGAACUGAGGGGGGCUGCUCCUAGUACGAGAGGACCGGAGUGGACGCAUCACUGGU
rnacentral:rRNA from 1 species